GAGCAACUUAGGAUUUUAGGCUCCCCCGUGCGGACUCGAAACCGCGCCGGGCUAAACCCACAGGAGCUGGCGGUUCCUGUGCGGUCAAAAUCAAACCGCUGGAG
rfam:Faecalibacterium prausnitzii strain 2789STDY5608869 genome assembly, contig: SCcontig000008